GAAAGUGCUGCAGUGCUGUUAGUGUCGCCUGUGCCGUCCUGUGUCAGCGCCCACCACUGGCACCGGAGCUCCCUGAGACCCAGGACUGCGUCUUGUGCAUCGCGGUGCCCCAGGCCUCGCACGGGGCCCAGCACAGCAGCUGUGCACCGCCGUCCCCGAACUGAGACCACGGAGCAGAGCAGCACCCUGGCGCAUCUGGCCUUCACCGCCACGCUCGGCAGGCUGGUCCACUGCAGCCCUCACGCCCGCGGUAGCGCUCUCACCUUCAGAGCGGGACAGAGCCUCAGACACAAGUGAGCAAACUGAGGCCCAGAGAGGGACGGUGACCUGGAAACAUGGCCACCACUUCUCGCCUUGAGAGGCACCCCAUGGUGAGGCUGGACCCUGAGGCUUGGGGUCCAGGAGAUCUGCUCUCCAGACAGAGAGCGGCUGCCACCCAGGACCCUGACUCAGGAGCGGGGCCUGGAUGCUGUGAACACAGCUCCACGGCCGCCGGGCUUGGACAACACAGAGACCUAUGCAGUUUGGACAUCCCAGAUGGGCUCCAGUGGGUGCUACCCGACAGGCGCAGAGAACAGGACACAAACUCCCUAGAGAACUUGAAUUUGGAAAUCACAUGCGUGCCCUCUGUAUCUACUAGAAUUAUGCCCAGCAUGAAAAAGGUCCACAGUGCCCAUCAGAACCCUGCACAACGCUCCCUAUCCCACUAAUCAGUUAGAAUUAAACUAAUUCCCUGCCCAAGCAGAAGCACCAGUUUCCUUUGGUGUUACUAACAGGAUACUCCUUAAAUUGAACUGUAUUCUCUUUGGGGAGCAGGUAGGGACCAUGUUUUUUUUCUUUUUGGUACCCCACUCCCUCAUUGCUUUACGCAUCGCAGUUAUUCAAAAAAUAUUCACUCGCUGAGCUCUUACUCUGCCCGAGGCACUCUGCUGGAUGCCAGGGGAUGGGAUGAAUAGGACAUGGUCUCUGUCCUCAAGGGGCGGAGCCGAGUGGAACUGAGAGGACGUUCUCAUCUGUGCCAGCUGACCGCCCACAUCACAGCAUGCGGUUCCAGAUGGACUGCCUCCCAGCCCCGGCAUGGGCCUUCUCUACCUCAGAAGCGGGACAGUCUACAUUUUUAACAGCUCUAAUUGUUAACGGAGCUAAAAACAAACCCCUUCCUCUCCUACAAGUUUCAUGCAUUAGUACCACUAUUUUUACCUGGAAUGAUAGAAAAUAAUCUAAUCCAGCCAAUUCACAUUCAGCUCUUCCAUGUCUAAAACUGGUUUUCAUGUCUACAGUUUCCCUGUAUGACCCCAGCCAGUUGUUUUCUUUCUUAGAAGAACCUUAGAACCUCAAGAUUCUCUUUUUCCCUCUUAAAUGAAACCCCUAGAACCAGACAGCCUGACCAGUAACUAGUGUGGGGCUCCAGGCAGCUGCCCCCUUACACGGGGGGUUUUAUCCACACAUCUGUGAAGGCUGCUGGACCCAUAUCAUUGGCAACUGCUUCAUGGGCUAUUGACGCAUCUUGAGCUUAUAGUCAACUGAAUCCCGAAGGCCUCUCACCCACGACCAAGCCUGCUCAUCUUAUAGUAGUGCUGUGGGAUUUUCAAAGCUAAGAACAGAACUUUAGAUUUUUCCCUCUUUCAUCUGAUUUUUUUCCACUUAAACAAUAUUUCCUAAUGAGUUCUUUUCUUUUUUUCAAAUCUGGGAUUCUGUCAUCAAGGUAUUAGCUUUUCCCUUUCAGCUUUGCAUCAGUCCUUUUUUGAAAUGGUUGACCUGGGCAGGACCAAGGACAGUGCCCCACUCAAUGACCCUGGCAUUGGCACUGAUAGAAAAAUCAGUGUUUUUUGACAAUUCCGUUUGAGAACAGCCCACCCGACUAUAUUGUCAACUAACCCACUUCCUAUCCUGUCCACGUAGAUAUCACGGGAGAUUUUGUCAAAUACUUUACUGAAGCCUGGUGCACCGCCUGCAGCCCCUGACCUUGGAUAAUAGCUCGACAUCUAUGCUGAAAGGAAGAAAAGACUGGUUGGGCUUCACUCAGUCUUAGUGACUUUUCUAUUAGCUUCGCUUCGAAAACUCACAGUCCGUUGGGUUAAAGAAUGGUUCUUUAGAACCUACACCUUUUAGAGCUAGAAGGGACCUCAGAGAUGAUUCAAGAUCUAAUUCCCAAUUUUGCUGAUGAGGAAACCAAAGCCCAGAAUGCUUAACUGGCAUUUUCCCAAGUCACAGAGGAACUAGAAUAAGAACAAGGAUUGGAUCACACAUCUGUGCUCCACGCUCAAUGCUCUUUCUUAGCAAUAUUAAGUCAUAAAUUCUUUCUCUAAAUGCGUUCGCACACACACACACACACACACACAGAGAGAUCUUCCUUCAGGUCUCUUAAUUUCCCACGCAUACAAGCCAUGCCGUUAUCAUUUUGGAGGGUGCAGCUGGGACCCAGGGACUGACUACUUUCUCUCCUCCUGCUUCGCAGAAUGGAAGCUGGAGGCUCAGAACUCCUCAGUGCAAUUUGUUCUCCAAUAAGGGGGUCUUUGAACUCCCCCAGUCUGGGCUGAUCUUGGGACGCCUCAGUCUACCUGGAGGAGACCACCGUCUUCAAACCUCAUGUGAGCCUGUGUGUGCUGAGCAGGGGGCUGGCCCCUUGGGUGGGCAGGGCAGAGAUACUGCGGUGAGCUUGGUGGUGUACCACCCAGACCCCGCUUCAAGGACUGCUUGCCCAGCUCUGGAGGUGCUGUUGAAGAUGGCCUUCAUCUGUCAGCUGCCCCCCACCCCAGUUCCUUCAGGAACUGCAGUGAGCUACUGGGCCAAAGUCAAAUCCUCCCCAGGGCUAUCUGCAUCCAACAGCUGACAAAGAGGGGACAUAAAGGCUCAGCCGUAUGACCCAACAUGGGUUGGCUAGGUCACUCUCCCUCCAGAGCCCCCGUGGGAUUAGCCGAGGCUCCUGGUGGACCUGCAACACGGGUUGACUUCUCUCUGCCCCACGCCGUGCUCCUGCCCUCCCUUCCAUGGGUGUUGAUCCCAAACACCCUCCAGCAAGCGUCCAGCACCCUGAACUCAGAAUCUCCUUCCCAGAGGCACCAGUCAGCGAUGGAGACCCAGCUUUUCUUUUUCCUUCCUUUUCCUUGUCAGCCAGAAUUACCCUGGUCUCCCUGCCCCCAGACCUGCAAAGCCUUUCUGGGCUCCGGAUGUCUUUGAUAAAGACUCUGGACUCUCUUCCCAGAAAAUGCACGUGAUUUCAUACACGCCAAGCUUUACCUCCACUUUCAGAGGCUUUACAGACUCCGCGGAUCGGGCUGAAGACGCUCUCCUGGAGGGAUGAUCAUGGAUUUUGUCCAUAUGCUGAGAGCUGCGCCAAGCGCUGCAGGCAGCUCUGGUCAUCCAGAGGAAACAUGAGGGCUUUCAGACACCGGCACGGCUCCCUCAAAACCGACGGACCCUCGCUCACGGAUAAGAAAAUCGCGGAUUCGAAAGCUUCAGUAACUGCACCAAGGUCACAGAGUUUGUAAGCGGCCAAGCCAGAACUUGAACCUGGAUGUGAGUUACUCUGUCCAUGCUCUCAGCUGCGCUGCAUCCUCGUGCUUCCUUGAAGGCUUCCUGAGCUCACCUUCCAGCCCAGGCACUCCUAUCCCACCUCGUCAGCCUCCUCCUUUCCGACCUAGAAGGGAAUCCACAGAAUCUGGUGCUCAUCUCUCCGCCCUCAGAGAAGAAAGGGAAUUCUCUGUAUUCCCUUGUAUUGCAGAGUUCUUCGUUGGUCAGUAAUUAAGAGUCUCCUGUUUACCAGAAUCGUUUCUUGUUACGAAUUAGUAAAUUCAUACUAAUGUGAUACAUCAGUCUCUCAUGAAUUUGUUUCUGGUGAGUCAGUCCCCCUGGAAUCCAAGAACCACAGGGACACCUAAUUGAUUCUCCAAACCUGCAAGGCCACAGCCUAGACUUAGAGCCCGGUGCCCACACCAGUUCCCGCCAGCCUGCGGGGGGUGGGGGGCAGGAUGAGGGGGCCCCAGGCCCGUCAAACAGUGACAAGAAAGAGGCGCCCCGCCGCUCCUCCGUCUGUACGGGCUCUGUCUUCACCUCCAGAACCUGAGCAAGUUGCUGCCCUCCCCUGAGCAUUUCCUCGGCUGACAGCUGGACGCAGGGAUUCUCGCCCUCGUGACUUUGAAGUAAGUGAAAUGGAGAAAGAAAUCCCGUGGCCAGCCACCCUCCCAGCCCUCCUCUGACUCAGGUUCCAUUGCUUCCUCCCCACGAGCCUCCGCCCAGGCGCUCCUGUUCAGGUCACAGCACUUUGCUUCAACCUGCUUUGCAAACGCUCCUGGUCCCUUGGCCAGAUGUGGAUGCCUCAUCCGGCCAGGGCAGCUCCUUGCCGUCCUAUAGAAUCACUGGGGGGAUUAGACCGGCCACCACCCAUGUGAUAGCUGAGGCCACUGAGGCCUAGA